rnacentral:rRNA from 1 species
UUGGAAGCAGCCAUUCAUUUAAAGAGUGCGUAACAGCUCACUAGUCGAGGAGUUCUGCGUGGAUAAUAAUCGGGCAUAAGCCGUUUACCGAAGCUGUGGAAUUGGCAACAAUUGGUAGGGGAGCAUUCCAUGAGCCGCAGAAGGUUUUCCUUGAGGAAUGCUGGAGGUAAUGGAAAAGCAAAUGUAGGUAUAAGUAACGAUAAAGAGGGCGAGAACCCCUCUCGCCGAAAGACCAAGGGUUCCUGAUCAACGCUAAUCGGAUCAGGGUAAGUCGGGCCCUAAGGCCAAGCCGAACGGCGCAGCCGAUGGCAGAAACGGUUAAUAUUCCGUUACUAUGAUACGGAGUGACGAGGAGACGGAGAAGUGACACUCUCGCCUGCUGACGGAAUAGCAGGUUGAACGGAGUAGAUAAUGACAUGGUAGGCAAAUCCGCCGUGACAGUCGAACCGGAUAGUACUGGGCGCCCCCGGGCAACCAGAUAGUAGAGGUAAUCAGGCUCCCGAGAAAAUCCCCUAAACAUAUGCGUAUCAUACCCGUACCCUAAACGGACACACGUGGUUGAGUAGAAAAUACUAAGGCGCUCGAGCGACUCACGGUUAAGGAACUAGGCAAAUUGACCCUGUAACUUCGGGAUAAAGGGUCCCUCCCUGGUGGGAGGGCGCAGAGAAUAGGUCCAGGCAACUGUUUAACAAAAACACAGGGCUGUGCGAAAUUGAAAGAUGAAGUAUACAGCCUGACACCUGCCCGGUGCUGGAAGGUUAAGAGGAGAUGUCAUCGCAAGAGAAGCAUUGAAUUGAAGCCCCAGUAAACGGCGGCCGUAACUAUAACGGUCCUAAGGUAGCGAAAUUCCUUGUCGGGUAAGUUCCGACCUGCACGAAUGGUGUAAUGAUCUGGACACUGUCUCAACCGUGAGCUCGGUGAAAUUGUAGUAUCGGUGAAGAUGCCGAUUACCCGCAACGGGACGGAAAGACCCCGUGAACCUUUACUGCAACUUAACAUUGAAUUUGGGUAACUGAUGUGUAGGAUAGUCCGGAGACAGAGAAGUGGAUACGCCAGUAUUCAUGGAGUCGCCCUUGAAAUACGGACCUUUGGUUAUUUGAGUUCUAACCCGUAGGAUAUGGGGACACUGUUUGGUGGGUAGUUUGACUGGGGUGGUCGCCUCCAAAAGCGUAA